UACGUAGGGACCAAGCGUUGUCCGGAAUCAUUGGGCGUAAAGAGCGUGUAGGCGGCCUGUUAAGUCUUGCGUGAAAUCUCGGGGCUCAACCCCGAGCGGUCGUGAGAAACUGGCAGGCUAGAGUGCGGGAGAGGAGAGUGGAAUUCCUGGUGUAGCGGUGAAAUGCGCAGAUAUCAGGAAGAACACCCGUGGCGAAAGCGGCUCUCUGGAACGGUACUGACGCUGAGACGCGAAAGCGUGGGGAGCGAACAGG
rnacentral:rRNA from 1 species